GUGGACCCCUUCCUGCCUCAGGACCCCAUGUUAUCUCCCUGUUAAUUAUUGGUCAUCUUAUCCCAGUCUCAGACCAUUGGUCCCCUACCUAAUUCUCCCCUUCCCUAUAAAAAUCCCAGCUUUUGCCCAGUUCAGUGGUAGAUCAUCACCGGCCCCCUUUACUGAAGCCUGCAUUAAAGACUUUCUGUGGAACGCCACAUGAUCUUCCCGUCUUUGUCUGUGUUGGCAGGGGUAACCCCUGAACACAGCUGGCUGGGCUGAACAGAGCUGAUCACAGAGCAGAAAUUGUUUCUAAAAGAGCUGAUCACCUGAAGCCUCUGCCCGUGCUCCAAAGGGUUACCCCUGUCUGGAGACUGCCUGGAAACCCCAGAUGGCAGCUCGUCCCCUGGGACUUCUAUCUGGGUUGCUGCUGGCAGAAGCUGGGGGUUGGACAGGCCCCCAGGACCCAGCUGCAGUAAGAGAUCUAAUGGAUGGUCAUUGGAGUGGACUUGCAGGACAAUUCACAAGACCUGGCUGGACUGGAUA